rnacentral:lncRNA from 1 species
AUGGGGGGUGCUUUUCUUUCUUCCUGCAGAAGAUAUCUGCGUACCAUUGAAAAAUUCUAUCCCAUAGAGAACCCGGUAUGCAGACCAGGUAGGAAAAACCACCCGCUGCAGACGCCCAGGCUGCUUCAGGCACAUUCCCAGGAAGACAGAGGGAAGGAAGAAACAGGAAGGUCAUGGAGGAGCGGCAGAAGACCAAAUUCGGCCAGUUCGCCACUUGAGACCUGCCAGUUUCUGGAUUUUAAUGGCCUUUUCUCCCAGGCAGAGGUGAAAGAAACCCGGGGAGCCUCCUGGAAAUCCCAUUGA